UACUUGCAUAUUACUAUAAACACACUAGUGUAUAUUGAGUUUGAGUGCAGCUCAGGCUCCUCCCAGCAGCAGAGCAAGUGAUAUGAAUUUACUGCUGCUUCAACAGAUGCAGAAAGAGGAAGAGGAGCACAACAUCUCUGCAGAUUCUUCAACACUUUCAGAGAAUUUCAGCUUCAUAUAAUGGCUUUCUGGAAAAGUGGCAUUCUGAUCAUAAUUAUAUUUAUCAAGCGAUGUGAUUCUCAGGACAAAGUUGAUCAGCACACAAAGACUCAAUCUGCUUUUGAAGGUGAUACUGUAACCAUUGACUGCACAUAUCAGACUUCUUCAACAGGCCCGACUCUAUUCUGGUACCAGCAGAAAGUCAAUGGUGUCCCAAAAUACAUGCUGAAUAAAAUCACUACGACUGGACACACUGAGGAAGAAUUCAAGAAAAGAUUUAACGCAACUCUCAGCAAAACUUCAGUUCCUCUGACAAUCAAGGAUCUGCGUGUGUCAGACUCUGCUGUGUAUUACUGUGCUCUGAGGCCCACAGUGACUCAAACACACUCAACACUCACACAAAAACACUGUGUGAACCUCUGAUGUGAAUUUUAUACUUAUUAAACUUAAGAAACAGAUUAGUACAGAAAAGUAUUCCUUCCUUUACAGUAUCCAAUAACAAUGUCAAUUUCAUUUUAAAAUGGCAAAAUCCUACAUUUAAACAUUUUCAUUUAUAUUUAGCAGUCCAGUAGUCAGUACUGACUGCACUCAACCUUUAACAACAAAAACAAAUCAAACAAAGAAACUAACGAUACAUCACGCAGCCAUUGAAAAAAGCAAACAUUAUUAUAUUUUUUAAAGUUAAAUACAUGAAAAAGGCAAACAAAAAAAUGAGAUUCUGCUUUUUAGAAAUUGUUUUGUUGCUCUUUGCUAAUAAUAAGAUCAAGUCUAUAACAGCCACAGUUUCAGUCUU